rnacentral:tRNA from 1 species
UCCCUGGUGGUCCAGUGGUUAGGACUCCGCACUUUCACUGCUGAAGGCCUAGGUUCAACUUUCGGUCAGAGAA